UACGUAGGGUGCAAGCGUUGUCCGGAAUUAUUGGGCGUAAAGAGCUCGUAGGCGGUUUGUCGCGUCUGCUGUGAAAACUCGGGGCUCAACUCCGAGCUUGCAGUGGGUACGGGCAGACUAGGGUGCGGUAGGGGAGACUGGAAUUCCUGGUGUAGCGGUGGAAUGCGCAGAUAUCAGGAGGAACACCGGUGGCGAAGGCGGGUCUCUGGGCCGUAACUGACGCUGAGGAGCGAAAGCAUGGGGAGCGAACAGG
rnacentral:rRNA from 1 species